AUUUAAACAAUGUUUCUGCUAUUGCUGUGCAUUGCUUUAUUAAACGCCUGCUACUCUGCGGUUGACCGCACGCGCGAGGACCGUGCGACGGGUGCAGAUAUUGUCCAGGCGGUAGUGGACGUCAUCAGAUCAAAUUGUAUUUAUCCAAACGAUAGGCUGUUUCUCAGAAGACUUGCCUAUGUCGAAUCUCAAGAUGGACAGGACAUCAAUACCUUUCGACCUAACUUUUAUGGUGGAAUUUGGCAGGUUUGCAAAUUGCUAAAUAAAACUUUAAAAAUAUUUAAUCUUAUCAAUAACAAAUUAUUUCUUAUAUCACUAAAAUAUAAAAGUUUUUUCACUAAUUUACAGGUUACAGAAUCGGACUUUGAUUCUACAAAGAAUGAUUAUUUGCUUCGAAAGCAGUAUUCGCUUAUCCAAGAGAAGUUGAAUAUAGACUGGAGUAAUGUAUCAUGGACGGACCUCACCACACCUCUGUACUCGGGGUUGGCUGCAAGUUUGGUUUUGAAGAGGAGGUUUGGGGACGAUACGCCUGGUGUCCUUGAAAGACAGGCUGAGAUAUGGAGGACCUAUUAUCAUCCGGAGAAGACGUCAAGUCACUUCGUUACCCAGGUGCAGCAAUUACCUGUAGGUAAGGAUUUAUUGCUCCACAUAAUGCUAAUUUUAAUUAAUUUGCAAUGAACGCAUCGCGUUUUCUGUUCAUUAAAACUUAAGUAUAACAACUUUCAGAUGACUGCCAAUUCGACAUCGGGUUCAUUCUAGACGAAUCUGGAAGCAUAGGAAGAACAGACUUUCAAGUCAUGCUGGACUUUGUGAAAAACGUUACCGACAAGUAUGAGAUAGGUCCACAUGCUGUAGAAGUAGCGGUCGUGACGUUCGAUAGCUAUGCUACUGUUGAGUUUGGUUUUGGUACAUAUAGCAAUAAAGCUGACCUUCACAAUGCCAUCGACAGUGCAAGGUACAAUGGCGGCGGUACAAACACAGCGGCGGGAAUUCGACUGGCCAGAGAGGCAGUGUUUCGCAAUGGAUCUAGACCUAGCUCAACCAAGGUUGCUCUCGUUAUCACUGAUGGGUGUUCAAACAGCGCUUUGAAUACUGCUGAAGAGGCAACGUUAGCAAAAGAAGAGGGAAUAGUGUUGUUUGCUCUUGGUGUCGGAAGUAUUUGUGGCAAUGAGUUGGAGGCAAUGGCAAGUGACCCUAACUGUACUCACGUGUUUUAUUUGACAGGAUUUUCUGACAUCGAUAGUUUGAUUUACGAAAUACAGAAGGCCGCCUGUAGAGGUAAGAUUAUUCAUUUUGGCCCAAAUAUUCACAUAUUGUUAUAACAUCAACAAAUGACAUUUCCUUAUAAUCAUUAUAUGAUUUGCAAUAGCUCCGGUGGUUAUUGGCCCCUCCCAUCCUGUGAAUAGUAAUGGCUCAUCAACGGGAUCAUCGCCUGCGACAAAUUAUACGUCAAACACGAGCUUAAGUCCAAACAAGACUGUAACAAUACAUGCCGUCGUGCCUAAUCCUUCAACAAAUGAUACAGAUAUACACAAAGUCGUGCAAGUAAGUGAUCCAUGUACAAAUGUUGACGUUACCUUCAUAAAGUAGUCAUAAAGCAUGCUGAUUUCAUUUCAAAACCUUUCUACAGGUGAAUGUAAACUGUGGAAUUGUCCACGUGUAUAUGUCUUACGAUAACCCCCACCCAAGCGCUGCCCUGUACAGCGACAAAGUGACGGCCACAGACGGUCACCCUGCAAUCUUAUCUCUGGAGAAGACGGUGGAUGGCCGUCCACUGUACAUGAGCUUUGUGGGCACGCACCUGCCGACGGAAGCCGCCGGCCUCAAGAACUGCAGUGAUGCCCACUUCAAUACGACAAUCAUCUCUGUCAACGAGUCAGGUAGUGGAACAUUUCAGCAAAUUGUUCUUCAUUAUGUCAAUUUCCAUACACUUUUAAAUGUCAUAUAUUUCGAGAUUUUUGGUUUUGAAAUAAUCAUAGAUUAAAACGUGUAUUUUAGGAAGUGAAAUAAUAUGUCGUCAAAAUGGACAUGAUCGCGAAUGCACGAAAACGGAUUUCCUGCUUCACGAAAAAUACAAGCACUAUUUGUGCAGUUCUACAACAGGUAUACAUAUAAAGGCACUGGGGUUCAAUUGAAAUGAAUUUCAGUAUUAUAUAAUAAAUUAACAAAAUAUAAGCUUAAUUUUUGGAAGUGAUUCUAAUAAAUUCUAGAUGAAACAGCGAUACCAAAUCCGUGUACAGAAGAAGCAAUACGAAAUAACCAAUUGUUCUUCCCGCAUCCAUAUGAUUAUACAAAGUUUAUAAAAUGUGACUACCAUCACAAGAUGUACAUAACGCAGUGUCCGAAAGGAGAACGCUAUCAGCAGGUAUUGUAUUCAAGUCACAAAGAGUUAUACUGUUGAUUUGAGAGAGAUGUUUUGUUGAUUUAUUUCAAGAAUAUUGCCUCUUGUCGUUUUUUAUCAUAUACAGGUUUCAAUCCAAGCCAUGACUUAAUGUUAUCCACAUAUUAUAGUCAAUUAACUUUGAUAAAGGAAGAAUGAAAGAAAACUGUAAUAUAAUGUUAUUUAAGGAGUGUUUCAUUUCCUUCUAUGUCAUUAAGGGCUCCCAUUCUUGUGGGUCAACAACAGCAACAGUCACCGGCGAUAAAGCUCCCCUUGACCCGGAUGUGACAAACCCCUGCACCACGCAGGCGCUCGCCAGUAACGAAUAUUUUUUUGCGUACAGCAAAGAUCAUACAAAAUUCAUCCACUGUGACGUUUGGCUAAAUGCGUGGGUCACGAGCUGUCCCCCCAGCCUGGUUUGGAACCAGCAAAGCCACACAUGUAUCGCGGACCAGCAUCACGAAGCCUCGAAUCCAUGUACUCAGGAACAACUGGACAAUGGUAUCACCAUGUUUCCGCAUCCGGACCCACACAUGUACAUUCACUGUGACAGUGGCUUGAAUCAGUGGGUGCAAUCAUGUGUUGGAGGCACUGUCUUCGAUUUUGCUUCACAAACUUGUGUCUGGGAAAAUGCGCUUUCAGGAUGACGGGAACCGUGAUUAUUUUUUUACGUCUUUAUAAAUGUACUGAGAAAUACAUUGAUAAUAUUUCCUUCUUUUUUUUCAAUAUCCUUUAUUGACUCUGCGUGCAAUUUGCUACUGUGUGAAAUUAUAACAUGUGCAUUAAAGUCUUAACUAUU
rnacentral:misc_RNA from 1 species